UACGUAGGGUGCGAGCGUUGUCCGGAAUUAUUGGGCGUAAAGGGCUCGUAGGCGGUUUGUCGCGUCGGGAGUGAAAACACCGGGCUUAACUCGGUGCUUGCUUUCGAUACGGGCAGACUAGAGGUAUGCAGGGGAGAACGGAAUUCCUGGUGUAGCGGUGAAAUGCGUAGAGAUCGGGAAGAACACCAGUGGCGAAGGCGGCCGGCUGGGGGCGCCCUGACGCUGAGGCGCGAGAGCGUGGGGAGCAAACCGG
rnacentral:rRNA from 1 species